rnacentral:pre_miRNA from 1 species
CUUGUACUCCCUCCAUCCGAAAAUACUUGUCAUUGAAAUGGAUGUAUCUAGAUGUAUUUUAGUUCUAGACACAUCCAUUUUGAUGAUAAGUAAUUCUGGACGGAGGGAGUACUUG